rnacentral:rRNA from 1 species
AGUGAACGCUGGCGGUAGGCCUAACACAUGCAAGUCGAACGGCAGCACAGUAAGAGCUUGCUCUUACGGGUGGCGAGUGGCGGACGGGUGAGGAAUACAUCGGAAUCUACUUUUUCGUGGGGGAUAACGUAGGGAAACUUACGCUAAUACCGCAUACGACCUACGGGUGAAAGCAGGGGAUCUUCGGACCUUGCGCGAUUGAAUGAGCCGAUGUCGGAUUAGCUAGUUGGCGGGGUAAAGGCCCACCAAGGCGACGAUCCGUAGCUGGUCUGAGAGGAUGAUCAGCCACACUGGAACUGAGACACGGUCCAGACUCCUACGGGAGGCAGCCGUGGGGAAUAUUGGCCCCUGGGCGACCGCCUGAUCCAGCCAUCCCGCGUGGGUGACGAAGGCCUUCGGGUUGUAAAGCCCUUUUGUUGGGAAAGAAAAGCAGCAGGUUAAUACCCCGCUGUUCUGACGGUCCCCCCCGAAUCAGCCCCGGCUCCCUUCGUG